AAACAUGAACUGAGGCCCUGAGGUUGAUUCAUCUUAAAUAUACAUAAGCAUAUAAAAGUCGUCACAUGUAAUUUUUGCAACAGCAAACGUGUUCAUCGAGACACGUACUAUUAAUAUUAGGACCAUAGAACUUAAUACAGUAAUCAUUGCAGAGAUAAGAUGUACAAGGAAACGAAAAACGAAUCAGAGGUUGUAAGCAUUCCACAUCAUUAACCUGUGCUUGUCCUAAUAAUGUUGCACCUGCAUGCAAUUAUCAAACUAAUUAAGAAAAUUAAUCAAUGAAUCAUAAGACUGAAGAAAUUAAAGAAUUUUAAGCUGUUAAAAAAAGCGUAAAGCAACAUGCAGUCAGAGAAAAUUACCCAUUGAAGCAAAAAGGAAGGUAAUAAAGAACAGACAGAAAGCAAAAGCGAUCUUCAUUUCUU
rnacentral:lncRNA from 1 species